GGGUUGUGAGGUUAAGCGACUAAGCGUACACGGUGGAUGCCCUGGCAGUCAGAGGCGAUGAAGGACGUGCUAAUCUGCGAUAAGCGUCGGUAAGGUGAUAUGAACCGUUAUAACCGGCGAUUUCCGAAUGGGGAAACCCAGUGUGUUUCGACACACUAUCAUUAACUGAAUCCAUAGGUUAAUGAGGCGAACCGGGGGAACUGAAACAUCUAAGUACCCGAGGAAAAGAAAUCAACCGAGAUUCCCCCAGUAGCGGCGAGCGAACGGGGAGGAGCCCAGAGCCUGAAUCAGUGUGUGUGUUAGUGGAAGCGUCUGGAAAGGCGCGCGAUACAGGGUGACAGCCCCGUACACAAAAAUGCACAUGCUGUGAGCUCGAUGAGUAGGGCGGGACACGUGGUAUCCUGUCUGAAUAUGGGGGACCAUCCUCCAAGGCUAAAUACUCCUGACUGACCGAUAGUGAACCAGUACCGUGAGGGAAAGGCGAAAAGAACCCCGGCGAGGGGAGUGAAAAAGAACCUGAAACCGUGUACGUACAAGCAGUGGGAGCACAGAGCAAUCUGUGUGACUGCGUACCUUUUGUAUAAUGGGUCAGCGACUUAUAUUCUGUAGCAAGGUUAACCGAAUAGGGGAGCCGAAGGGAAACCGAGUCUUAACUGGGCGUUAAGUUGCAGGGUAUAGACCCGAAACCCGGUGAUCUAGCCAUGGGCAGGUUGAAGGUUGGGUAACACUAACUGGAGGACCGAACCGACUAAUGUUGAAAAAUUAGCGGAUGACUUGUGGCUGGGGGUGAAAGGCCAAUCAAACCGGGAGAUAGCUGGUUCUCCCCGAAAGCUAUUUAGGUAGCGCCUCGUGAAUUCAUCUCCGGGGGUAGAGCACUGUUUCGGCAAGGGGGUCAUCCCGACUUACCAACCCGAUGCAAACUGCGAAUACCGGAGAAUGUUAUCACGGGAGACACACGGCGGGUGCUAACGUCCGUCGUGAAGAGGGAAACAACCCAGACCGCCAGCUAAGGUCCCAAAGUCAUGGUUAAGUGGGAAACGAUGUGGGAAGGCCCAGACAGCCAGGAUGUUGGCUUAGAAGCAGCCAUCAUUUAAAGAAAGCGUAAUAGCUCACUGGUCGAGUCGGCCUGCGCGGAAGAUGUAACGGGGCUAAACCAUGCACCGAAGCUGCGGCAGCGACACUGUGUGUUGUUGGGUAGGGGAGCGUUCUGUAAGCCUGUGAAGGUGUGCUGUGAGGCAUGCUGGAGGUAUCAGAAGUGCGAAUGCUGACAUAAGUAACGAUAAAGCGGGUGAAAAGCCCGCUCGCCGGAAGACCAAGGGUUCCUGUCCAACGUUAAUCGGGGCAGGGUGAGUCGACCCCUAAGGCGAGGCCGAAAGGCGUAGUCGAUGGGAAACAGGUUAAUAUUCCUGUACUUGGUGUUACUGCGAAGGGGGACGGAGAAGGCUAUGUUGGCCGGGCGACGGUUGUCCCGGUUUAAGCGUGUAGGCUGGUUUUCCAGGCAAAUCCGGAAAAUCAAGGCUGAGGCGUGAUGACGAGGCACUACGGUGCUGAAGCAACAAAUGCCCUGCUUCCAGGAAAAGCCUCUAAGCAUCAGGUAACAUCAAAUCGUACCCCAAACCGACACAGGUGGUCAGGUAGAGAAUACCAAGGCGCUUGAGAGAACUCGGGUGAAGGAACUAGGCAAAAUGGUGCCGUAACUUCGGGAGAAGGCACGCUGAUAUGUAGGUGAAGUCCCUCGCGGAUGGAGCUGAAAUCAGUCGAAGAUACCAGCUGGCUGCAACUGUUUAUUAAAAACACAGCACUGUGCAAACACGAAAGUGGACGUAUACGGUGUGACGCCUGCCCGGUGCCGGAAGGUUAAUUGAUGGGGUCAGCGCAAGCGAAGCUCUUGAUCGAAGCCCCGGUAAACGGCGGCCGUAACUAUAACGGUCCUAAGGUAGCGAAAUUCCUUGUCGGGUAAGUUCCGACCUGCACGAAUGGCGUAAUGAUGGCCAGGCUGUCUCCACCCGAGACUCAGUGAAAUUGAACUCGCUGUGAAGAUGCAGUGUACCCGCGGCAAGACGGAAAGACCCCGUGAACCUUUACUAUAGCUUGACACUGAACAUUGAGCCUUGAUGUGUAGGAUAGGUGGGAGGCUUUGAAGUGUGGACGCCAGUCUGCAUGGAGCCGACCUUGAAAUACCACCCUUUAAUGUUUGAUGUUCUAACGUGGACCCGUGAUCCGGGUUGCGGACAGUGUCUGGUGGGUAGUUUGACUGGGGCGGUCUCCUCCUAAAGAGUAACGGAGGAGCACGAAGGUUGGCUAAUCCUGGUCGGACAUCAGGAGGUUAGUGCAAUGGCAUAAGCCAGCUUGACUGCGAGCGUGACGGCGCGAGCAGGUGCGAAAGCAGGUCAUAGUGAUCCGGUGGUUCUGAAUGGAAGGGCCAUCGCUCAACGGAUAAAAGGUACUCCGGGGAUAACAGGCUGAUACCGCCCAAGAGUUCAUAUCGACGGCGGUGUUUGGCACCUCGAUGUCGGCUCAUCACAUCCUGGGGCUGAAGUAGGUCCCAAGGGUAUGGCUGUUCGCCAUUUAAAGUGGUACGCGAGCUGGGUUUAGAACGUCGUGAGACAGUUCGGUCCCUAUCUGCCGUGGGCGCUGGAGAACUGAGGGGGGCUGCUCCUAGUACGAGAGGACCGGAGUGGACGCAUCACUGGUGUUCGGGUUGUCAUGCCAAUGGCACUGCCCGGUAGCUAAAUGCGGAAGAGAUAAGUGCUGAAAGCAUCUAAGCACGAAACUUGCCCCGAGAUGAGUUCUCCCUGACCCUUUAAGGGUCCUGAAGGAACGUUGAAGACGACGACGUUGAUAGGCCGGGUGUGUAAGCGCAGCGAUGCGUUGAGCUAACCGGUACUAAUGAACCGUGAGGCUUAACCUUACAACGCCGAAGGUGUUU
rnacentral:rRNA from 1 species